rnacentral:rRNA from 1 species
AAAAGCUCGUAGUUGGAUCUCAGCUCCGGCCGGACGGUCCGCCUACCGGUGGUUACUGUUCGCUGCCGAGCGUUCAGGGGGCUUUGUCCGCAUGAUCUUCACCGGUUGUCGGUCAGGGCCCCCACGUUUACUUUGAAAAAAUUAGAGUGCUCAAAGCAGGCGCGACGCCUGAAUAAUUGUGCAUGGAAUAAUGGAAUAGGACCUCGGUUCUAUUUUGUUGGUUUUCGGAACACGAGGUAAUGAUUAAGAGGGACAGACGGGGGCAUUCGUAUUGCGACGCUAGAGGUGAAAUUCUUGGACCGUCGCAAGACGAACUACUGCGAAAGCAUUUGCCAAGAAUGUUUCCAUUAAUCAAGAACGAAAGUUAGAGGUUCGAAGGCGAUCAGAUACCGCCCUAGUUCUAACCAUAAACGAUGCCAGCCAGCGAUCCGGCUGUGUUCCUCAAAUGACACGCCGGGCAGCUUCCGGGAAACCAAAGCCUUUGGGUUCCGGGGGAAGUAUGGUUGCAAAGCUGAAACUUAAAGGAAUUGACGGAAGGGCACCACCAGAAAUGGAGCCUGCGGCUUAAUUUGACUCAACACGGGAAAACUUACCCGGCCCGGACACAGGAAGGAUUGACAGAUUAAGAGCUCUUUCUUGAUUCUGUGGGUGGUGGUGCAUGGCCGUUCUUAGUUGGUGGGGCGACUUGUCUGGUUAAUUCCGAUAACGAACGAGACUCUAGCCUACUAAAUAGACGUUCCCAUCCUCUUUCGUGGGACGUUCUUCUUAGAGGGACAAGCGGCGUUUAGCCGCACGAGACAGAGCAAUAACAGGUCUGGGAUGCCCUUAGAUGUCCGGGGCCGCACGCGCGCUACAUUGAAGGAAUCAGCGUGUGCUUUCCCUGUCCGAANGGACNGGGUAACCCGUUGAACCUCCUUCGUGCUGGGGAUUGGAAAAUGUAAUUGAUUCCAUGAACGAGGAAUUCCCAGUAAGCACGAGUCAUCAGCUCGUGUUGAUUACGUCCCUGCCCUUUGUCCACACCGCCCGUCGCUACUACCGAUUGAAUGAUUUAGUGAGGUCUUCGGACUGGCGCUCGGAUUGGCCUUCGCGGUCGAGCCGGUGUGCCGGAAAGAUGACCAAACUUGAUCAUUUAGAGGGAAGUAAAAGUCGUAACAAGGUUUU